GCAUGACACCUUAUACUGUAGGAAUACAAUAGGAAAAUCCAUUGCAACAAGAAUAAAUACACUGUUACUCGCAUUUAUAUGCAUGAUUGAUGUUAUUUCCACAAAUGCAGCAGCAGUACUGUACCUUAGGACACAUUUAAAUACUUUUAUCCAUUCUUGGGCAAAAGCCUUUAAUGUUUCAAUACACAAAAGCUAAAAUAUGCUGCAUGUGAAGUGAUACAAAUGCCUUGUGCAAUAUAGAAAGAUGGAACAUAAUUCUAACCUAAUGUCCGUUCUGUCAGAAGUGGUUUCACAGUUACACGUAAAAUCAAACUGAUGUUUUUUUUUUUUUUUUUUCCAUACCGGCAUCAUACAUUUGGUUUGCUACUCAGAGAAAGAAUCGGAAUAACUCAUCACAGUUAGAGGGGGAAAUCUAAGUAAAUGCCACUUUGCUGCAUAGAAAGAGAGAAAGCUAGAAAACCUUGAGUCCCACAACAACAGUAGAGUGAGCUUUGAGGUUUACUUAGCUAAGGAGUGUCGUCAGCAAAAUUUUCCAUGUAGAUAAGCGGACUCAAAAAUGAUACAAAACAAUCCUAACAGUGAGCCAGAGACAACAGAAAGUGAAACUGGCAGAAGAGGGAUAAAAGUCCACAAACUUUC